rnacentral:rRNA from 1 species
AAUCAACGCUGGCGGCGUGCCUAACACAUGCAAGUCGAACGCGAAAGGGACUUCGGUUCUUAGUAGAGUGGCGUACGGGUGAGUAACGCGUGGGUCAUCUGCCCUCGGGUGGGGGAUAACUAAUCGAAAGGUUAGCUAAUACCGCAUAACACAGUGAUGUCAAAGCAGCAAUGUGCCUGAGGGGGAGCCUGCGUCUGAUUAUGUAGUUGGUGGGGUAACGGCCUACCAAGCCUGCGAUCAGUAGCUGGUCUGAGAGGACGGCCAGCCACAAUGGCACUGAAAUGCGGGCCAUACUCCUACGGGAGGCAGCAGUGGGGAAUUUUGCGCAAUGGGCGAAAGCCUGACGCAGCAAUGCCGCGUGAGGGAUGAAAUAUUUCGGUAUGUAAACCUCGCAAAUAUGGGAAGAACAUAAUGACGGUACCAUAUGUAAGCCACGGCUAACUUCGUGCCAGCAGCCGCAGUAAGAC